GUUUGAGCGAUUCAACACGUACUUACCAGACAUCAAGAUUGCUUAUUGUAUACUGUACUUGUUGUCCAGUAACUUAUCUUUGAACUAUUAAUAUUAUAUCGUGAUAUAGGUUUUACAUCAGAAACCAAAGAAGACACUGAAGGAGAUAACCAAAGAUUUAUGCCCAGUUCUUAGCAUACAACAGUUAUACAGAAUCAGUACUAUGUACUGGGAUGACAAGUAUGGCACGCAGAGUGUUACAUCAGAGAUCAUUUCAAGUAUGAGACUUGUGAUGG